GGGGAUGAAAGGCCUUCGACAAUGUGAAUCUGUGUCGUGGUCAGCCCCGGUCCGGGAUCGCAGUAGUUCCCGUCACCCACUCGCUGCAAAAUAUAGCUGCCAAAACCAGCACAAUGGCCAAGGCUCUUGAGAACAUUUUCGCCGAUCUUUCGGCAAAACUCUCACCGGUCUAUGCCUAAAGGUCUGAUUUCAUUCGGACCACGUCUCUCCCUCGAUCCUCGCUACGGGGAUGAGACGUCACUAGCGGGGUUGGAUGCCCGCCUGACGCGACGGCAUCCGGACUAAUUGCGUCAUCCCUCCGCCCUUUCCUUGGUUCUUCCCUACGGGCAGGAGAAACGGAAGAAUCAUGACCGUACAGGCGCAUGGCGCACACGUUGGACCCGGGUUCAACUCCCGGCAUCUCCACCA
rnacentral:tmRNA from 2 species